UAAACUAGGAUUAGAUACCCUAUUAUUAUAAAUGUUAAUUAUAUAGUACUAAAUUAUUAAUAGUUAUGUUCUUUAAAAUUAAAAAAUUUGGCGGUAUUUUAGUCUUUUCAGAGGAACCAGUCCUGUGAUUGAUAGUCCACGAUAAGAGGUACUUUAUUUUUUAAUUUACAUAUCGUCGUAGAUUUGAAUAUUUUAAGAGAAAUUUAAUAUUCAAAAUUUUAAAUUAAAAAUAAAAUCAGAUCAAGGUGUAGUGAAUAAUAAAGUAGAGAUGGGUUACAUUAAAUUUAUUUAAGGAUAAAUUUUUUAAAAAAAUUUUGAAUUUGGAUUUGAAAGUAAUUUUUUGUGUUUUCUAAGAAUGAUUUUAGCUCUAAAAUAUGUACACAUCGCCCGUCGCUCUUAA
rnacentral:rRNA from 1 species